UCCAUAUAUAAAAGGUUACAUUUUAUGUAAAUCCUUUAAUUUUUAGUUUUAAUUUAAAAAUUCAACACAUUUAUGUUUGUUGGAUUUUAGGUGUAUUUAAUUUUUUUUAUUUAGAAAUAUUGUCAUUUCCAAGAUUAAUUAUUAUUAGCAGUCAUAUUUAUUUUGAAUUGAUCAUUAUUUAAUUGAAAUUUAAUAUCUAAUAUUAUUUAUUAAUAAAAAUACAAAUUAAUGAAUUGUUCACAUUAGCAGUUGGCUUGGUACAUAACUUUAUUCUUGUGUAUCUAUGAAGCAUGAGGUUUGGAAGCAAUUUAAAUUUUUAAAUCAUGUAUAAUAAUUUUAAGAUUCCAUUUUUGUAAUGGGAUUGCAUGAAAGUUAGCUCAGUAUUUCUUUGCAUGCUUGUUUUAACAUGGUAGCCACAGGUAAGUGAGUGUGUGAGGAUGCGAGGCAGUGCAGUCAUUGUCACAACAGAAGACAUCGAUGUGUGCUGUGAACAGUUCCCAGUCAACGAUUGAACCUUCAGUGUCAAUGAGACUUCACCAUAUAACAGUAAUUGAAGAAGUUUAUUUUAGGCUAAUGCGCUAACCCUAUAAUUAGACGUACUUGAUGGUAAGAAACAACAAAUAUCCCAUAUAAAGAUCAGGUAAAUAAUGGGUACUAUAUUACAUACCCAGUAGCAAAAAUAUAUUGUUUGUAUGUUACGAAUAGUGGGUAAGGAUACAAGACUAGAGAUAAAUUAAUGAAAAAAUUCAUUAAAAUAACUGAUAAAAACCUUUUUAAUGAGCUAUAGUAUACAUUUUCAUAAUGUGAGUACUUCUAAGCUCUUAUAAUGUUAGUGAGACAAAUUAUCAAUUUAAUUUUGUACCAUGAGCUUAGAUGAUGGAGAAAAGUGUUUUCUCUCAAUUAAUUUCAUGUAUAAAAGUUAUUUCCUAGAUAUUGAAUAAUAAAUAAUAAAUUUCAACACGGAAAGAUUCGUCUCAAGUUUAGUGCAUAAAAUGACAAACAAAAAUGAUAUUUCAUUAAUUCUAAUAUUGUGUAAACUUCUAAGGUAAACUAUCACUUUAUUAUUAUAAGUAGCGGUUCACUUUCAGUUCCAAGCAGUUACACCAAGAUAGCUAAUUCUUUUUAGCUAUGUGUAAAAUUGGAAAUUUGUUCUUCUUUUUUAUGUAUACAAUUGCAUUUUAAAAUUCUUUUAACACUGUACCCAUAAUUGCUAUAACAUAGUCGACUAAACAUAAAUAUUAGCAAUAAUCCUUACUCAUUUAGGAUGUAUAAUAGCCUUCCAAAGAUAUUAAUAAUACAAAGUAUUUAUAUUAAUUAAUGAUCAUUAUUAAAAAAUCAAAUGUAUUAUCUAGUAUAUCUAGGGAGUACUACCUCACACCACAAAUAUUCAUCCAGUGGAUGGAUAGGCAAAUAUCUUUGCAGCUUGUCUUUCAUUUGAGCUCUGUCAGGGUAAAAUUGAAAUAAUGGCAUUCAGUAUGUCUUGGUGUAACAUCGUUUUUGUGAGAAGUGUACCGUGAAAUACUGCUGACAGUUGUAACAGUGAUGUCGAAAAUACAGUCCUACUGUUUUAGUGAAAUCAACCAUUUGAUAGCAGAUUUAGAGGGGGGGGGGGGGGCAGAGACAUUCAGGUGAUAUUUUAGACUAAGUAAGAAUGAUUCAAAGAGGUUUUGAAAUUUAUAGAAAAUAAUAUAAAGAUGGAAGACGAAUUACAGGAAAUCAAUCACAAGCAGAGGAUGGGUAGCUUUAUGCUUGAGGUAGGCUUUUUUAAACUAUAAAAACCAGCAAAAUCCUAAAGUAAUGUUAUAGUUAAUAUCGGCAAAAGCAUAAUUUUAUUCAUUUAUCAAAACUCAAAAUUUGUAUUUUGCUUUCUGCAAUUAAAAAAUUAUAUGUAAUUUUAUUUAUUGCAUCUUUUUCACCGUGUACUAAAAUUACACAUUGAAAAUAGUGUUUCAAAACGUUGUUACCAAUAACAAGAAGGCUACUUAUAUGCCAAGAAAAGAGAUGACAAUCCGAGGAUCUUUAAAAUACAGAAUUAAUUAGUAACACUUUCAUAGGUUCAAAUCAGAGACCAGUAAACAUACCAUGCGGCGAGAAACAGCUAGAUGGUGUCCGUUGAAGUGAUACUGUGCGCAUGCGCAGAUGAAAACGUCCACGUGGACGCUCGGUGAGAAAUUCCAAAACAUCCUUAUCUCGUUAUGAUGUUUUCUAUAUAUAUAUAUAUAUAUAUAUAUAUAUAUAUAUAUAUAUAUAUAUAUAUAUAUAUAUAUAUAUAUAUAGUAUAAGAUUACAAAAUGAUAAAUAUCUGGUUUUGAUUGAGGAAGUUCAUUUUUGUAUCGUCGGUAAUACGGCCGGCUCUAAUCCCCUGCACUUCUGUGCGUGUGUGUGAGUGUAAACCUACCUAGGCCUAGCUGCAAUCCCAAAUUGAUAAUACUGUAGUGGUUGACCCGCUCGUAUGUGUCCAAGUUUAGUAAUUGCUUUACUUGCGAGCCAAGUGCACUUUCUAUUAGUGCGAUAUGUUCGCUGGAGUUGCAGUAUAACGAUGUUCAUCUAAAUUAUUUCAACUAAGAUAAAUGCCAACAAACCAGAAGCAGCUGUCGUUUUCGAUUUAUUGCAUAUAUCUGAGUAGGUAACUUCCGUCCUGUCCGUGGGCCGUUAGACAGGAAUUAGCCGGCCCAGCAACACGUGCUCGAUUUUAUUACGUUAAUUUCGUAUUGGUUUGUAAAGAGAAACUAAACUAUUGAAUACUACCAUCUGACCAUUUCGAGCCGUAACACGAAAGAAAGGUACUAAGUAGUACAAGCGGAACUCUUUAACAAUAAAGUUAUAGUGGGACAAGAUGUGUCACACUGUCGACAAGUAGGCCGUAUAAGUUUAUUGCUGUUCAGAUGGAUCCAUUUUGCCUUUUACACUGUUUCUAUUUAAACUAUCUAUAUUGGAGUCGUACAUAUUUAUCAAAGCAGCAGAUUGCCAGGGAACUGGUUUUAACAAUUCCUUCGUUUCCAAUAUUAUAUAUGCCCUCCUAAGUUCCUACAAGGUACGUAAUCACGAAUUGUCGUCGGUGCAGGCUGGUUAGGUUGAGGCAGUGAAGGGUAAUUUCAUACUGUUAGAAGCUGUUAUAAAUAUUCGGGUUAUAUUAUAUCUCUGGUUAACAAUCAUACGUCUUAUGCAGCUGAUGAGUAAAACAUGUUGUACGAUCAACUUUAAAUUGAUUUUCUUUAACUUUAUCUUGCUUUUUAUGCAUUAAAGUUCUAAUUCGAAAUAAAAAACACUUUCUACUUAAAAAAAUGUUUCCUGUAAUUAUACAACAGCAUGCUAUAGGAAGUUUUAUGACGUGCUAGAAGUUUGCACCAAUAGCAAAAAAGCAAGUUAUUGCAGUUUUUGCAAGUGUGAGAGCUAGGAUAUAAGCACAACAUAAAGAUGACUUUGUGUAACAUACAAGAUAAUGUAAUCUUAAUCCUAUUUUUUGCUACAGCGGGGAGAAUGUUAUCAUUCGAUCUGCUCAGAGCUCAUGCCUAUGAUACCGGAACUUGUAGGCUCUUUCCAUUCAUUGAAGCUUGUUGCGCGCGUUCAUUCCUCUGUCGCUUGUUACGCAAUGCGCUCAGUUGACGCAAUACUACAUUCCAUUGCGGCACAUCGUUUUGUAAUGGAAUCAGUGCUUUUUUUACCAAUCCGCCGUAUGCAACGUACGAUUUAGCCUUGGUUACAUACAUUUAGUUGAGCGAAUACUUGUAAAUCUUUCCUCGUAAUCCGCGAAAAAAGUAGGCAUAACUCACUCUGUGGGUAGCCAAAUAAUCUUAACCCUCCGACUGCCCUUAUUUUUUUCUUUAAACGCCAAGCCUUUUUCCCCAGUGUUGUAAGCUUUCUUUCUAAAAUCUUGUGCCUGGAAAUAUUGUCAAGUAUAUCAAUUUCAAAUUUCAAGAUAGCCUAAAGGUCAUAAAAAAUUUAGUCUAGUUUCAGAAAAUAUACAGAUUUUUACUAGCCUUUGGUUAAAUAAAUUAAGUUUAGCGCAAAAACUGAAAGUAGUACAAGAAGUUAUACAUUGUUGUGAACUUGUAAACCUAAAUAUGUUGGUACAAUUUUAUUUACAAUAAACUUUCACUCUAAUAAUGAAUAUUGUGAGAGAACUCAAGGUUUUUACGUUUAAAAAAGAGAUAAUGACCUGAUAAAAACAGUAAUUCUAAUAAUGCUUUGCGGUUUUGUAAAGUUUUAUAAUAACCUAAAGGUCAUAAAUUUAGUAUAUUUUUAGUUUAGUAUGGAAACGUCCUUCUAAAAUUACUCCGCUGUUAUAGAACUAUAAAAAUACCAGUGCUGUGUUCGGCAACUUUUUACCAUUUCCAAUGGUAUAUGAAUCACGUCGAUACUUGAUUGCUUACGUAUUAUAAAAAAUUAGAUUACGCGGACGGGCGAGCCCGCGGGCCAAAUCAACGGAUAUCCGUUGAUUGGUAGUCGGAGGGUUAAAAGAACAUGAUCAUACUACAAUUUUCAACUGUAACGAAGUCAAUAAACUACCAAUAUUAUUUUUUAUUGAGUGAAUUAGUCGUUUUGUAAGGAGAACUGUUCGGUUGUUGGCUUACAAUUUAUUCACUUGUUGAAGAGCUAUUCACAAAUUGUUAACGAGUUAUUGUUCGUACAAUUGGAACUUCUCGCAUUUAUCUUUAAAAGUUCGUCAUAAACCUCAGUGAAGGAGAGACAAAACAAAUUACAUUUAUUUUAUUACAGAGUGAAUCUGACAUUGGAUAUAAUAGGAAUAGUAUCGGUGGGCCGAUUCGGUGGUGACUUGUUGAUACAUUACUAACAGAUUUCCCUAACCCACACAUCACAAGACUUUGAAUUUAUUACGUGUUCUACAUUAUUGAUUAUGCCAAAUACCUUUACAGUGACAUCCUAAAAAAUUAAAAUCGAAGUUGGAAAUGUUAAAUGGGCACUUCUAUAAUUUAACAGCCGAUUGUAGUAAAAUUACUUUAGUUUCUGCUCCGUAAGAACAACGUUAAACCUCGCGCAGUCUUAUGCCCUUACUUUUAGUCUUAGAACUAUGGGAGAUGUCGAAUUCUAAAGACAUAAUUCGUAUUGAUAUUUUAAUGUUUUAUUUAGAAAAAAAUAGUUUUUGUACUUUGUUAAAAUAUUCAACAAGUUAAAUCUUGACAAUAACACUUAAAAGAGCGUUUGGAGGCGUAUUAAUAGUUCUACAAUUAAAAAUAAGGGCGUAAAAUUUAACGUAGUUAUCAUGGAGAAAACUCAAGGUCAUUUUACUGCCGCCAUUUCAUAAAUAGUCGAUUUUGAAUACACUUUUAAGUAGAUGGCCAUAAUGAUUAAUGUUCCUAAACUUUACAUAAUUUAGAAACUUGAACAUAAUUUUGUUGCUGAAAAAUGUGUUGAAUUAUUUGUUAGAGUAAAUAAUGUUUAGAAAUGUUACAAUGUAUUAGGAAACUACCAUAUACGAGAGCAACUAUCGAUCUUUUAAAUUUACCAAAUUAUAAAUAUGUUCUAAUUUAUAUGAAUUUAUGCGAAUGCUUUUCCAAUAUUUCCUAUAAAUCAUUAAAACAGCUUUCUUCGAACGACGUGCAUGGCUGAUACUCAACAUUUAAAGUUUGUUAUUUUGUGAUGCCAAGUCACCGAAUCUGUUGGUGUAACCAACUACACGUAGUGAGUGACUGGCCAGUGAAAGCGAGCGUCACUUGGUCUGGCGCCAGGACACUUGGUAACUAGACUUAUUUAGCAAGAGACAAUUCACUUUAGAAGCUGGGCUCUUUACAUUCACUGGCUCCGUAAAUUCACACAUUCUGGUCGUUGAUAAGUAACGUACUACUGAGGAUAACUUGAAAUUAAUAAGAAUAGUUUCUUUAAAGGUUAAAACAUUGAAUUGCCAACUGUAUGAAUAUAAAAACUCCAUAUACCACCAGAAAACUGUACAUGAAGCAAAUUAUAUUUUACCUCGGAGGAAAUAAAUAAAUAAAAUUCAAACCAAACAAACUUAGUAUAAGAGUACAAUUUGUUUCAUUUCUUUCUGAAACCCCGGGAAUAUGUAAACGAGCUAGUAUCAACCAAAAGUGAGGGGUUAUUGAAAGGGAAAAAGAUUAUAUAUAUAUAUAUAUAUAUAUUACUAAUUUUAAAAUAUUUACUUUCAGUUCCUCCGUAAUAAAAUACAAAUACAGUUUGGCAUAAUAGUAUAUUGAGUGUGUCGCUGAGUCUAAAAAUUAGACUAUUUACGUUGCUCUCGGAUCAGAAUAUGAAGCAAUAUGUUUCCAGCCUCAAACUCGAUAUAUUCACAGUGAGGAUGAAGAUGUAAUAGUAAAUAGAAAUUAAAACCAGGCUCCAUUAAGCUCAUUUAUUAGAGAUAACACUAAUAGAUUGCGAUUAUAGAACACUACCUGAACCUGGAGUUAUAUAUCUCUCUUUAGGUUGGCGCCUCUGUGCUAUUUUCUAGCUAAAGCUUGACGAUCAUCUUACUGAAAUCACAUAGCCAUUAGCAGAAUAGUAGAUCAAAGAUGUGUUGCUUUUGAAGUCUUUAACUUUGAGUUUGUUAUGUCACUGUCAUUGGGUUAAUUGGAAAUGAGGAAAUUACGAUUUAUGCUAUUGAAGACUUGAGCGUUUUCGUACUACAAUGGGAUUUCUUCUGAUAAUUCGCGAGACUAGAAUCUGAAACUUGAAGGUUGCUUCGUCUAUAAAUACACUUCUGACGUCAGUGCUUUCUUGCACGUAGGCGACAAUCGAUGCAGAAUCCAGUGCUUCUGUUCUAACUGAUGCGUAUUAAAUAAAAGAGCCAAUUCCUUGAAUUAUUCGUUUUCCUCGCCUUUGUUAGAUAUACAAGAAAAUCAAUUGGAGGAUGCCGUAAAGUAAUGGGUAUUUCAUAGUUCGAAUUAAUAGUAUAGAGAUAGGUCUAUACUGUUGCUUGCCCGCUAACGUGAAAUCUGUAUAGACUAGUAGGGGUUUCAUGUUCGUUUCAAAGAUAUCCCCGAAUUAUGAUACAAUUGAUAUUGACAAUGGUAACCGUCCAGAUCUAAGACUACAUAAGAUGUUUAAGUUGAACUUGGUUAUCGUUCGAAAUAUGAUUUUUCACGAAAAUGUGUUCUGUACGAGAAAUUAUCAUGCCCGGCGCAAGCACUGUGUGUUUUUUUUUUUGGUUGGACUGUUUUCCAUAACAAAACUCCUAUUCCCACAUCCAUUUAUGUUCUAUUGUUUACACUCGUCCUCAAUUAAGAACUUCAUUUAGAAGACCAUGUAUCGCUCUGACUUAGUAUUUUGAUUUUGUAAUUUUGAAAUGAAUAGAAAAUAGUUGUGGCUUUCCUUGAAAAACUAAAUUUAAAAUAAAAGUGUUUGUAUAUUUUCAAAUUUUGAUCAAUGCUUCUCCUCAGAGCACACAACUAGAUAGAUGUUCUCCUUGUAUGAAGAGAUAUUUAUGCACCUAUAGACUACCUAAAACGUGCUUUUUAUAACUGACUUUGUACGUAAAGAAACAAAAGCAAAAAACAGAAUAGUAUUUCUUUUAUCGACAAUGAAGGUAAAAUCUUUCACAAUUUUGUUAUCUCUGAAAAGUAUUUUUAUAACUUCUUUGUCAUAUAUUUAUUUAUGUAUACAAAUUUAUAAAAUGAGUCGUCUAUUUCAUUUUCUUUAUACACUUAUAACAAAGUUACGUGGUUUAUAGUUGACUAGUGUUCUCAUAGCUGCCCCUCAAAACGUUUACAUGGACAGUUAAUAGUUAUGUACUGUAUUUGUUAACUGUGAUAACUAAAGCUCCCUAACACGUUACGUCAUGUUCAGAAAAAUACAAAGUGGAAUAUGCUGUUAAGCUCGUCUAUCUAAAGUUAUUGGGCACCCCAGAUGCUGUUAGUAACUUAGCGCCGGAAAUCGAGGUGACAUCGCAGCGCCGCCCUUAUUGGUAGGGGACGAGCACGGACACGUGCUUCGAGGUCCCUUUUGUGUCUGUCGGCCUUUGUCGUGGCAAUUUCACCGGCCUACCUGCUUGUAUUGUACUAUUGGGUCAGGUGAAAAGAUGUAACAGGACUUGAAACAUGUAUUGUGUUCCUCCUCUAUUCUUGCCUUCCUAGGAAAAAGUCCAGUUGUAUUUUGUGGAUUUAAUAUUCAACAAGAGAAAGAAAGCUGAUCAUUCGUUUCAUAUAACUGUUUUUACUAUUUCUGAUAAAUUUUCAAAAAAUAAAAUUUUUGACAAAAAGUGAAAGGCCUCAUGCAAACAAAGAUGAGAAAUUGUGCUCGUGGACAAAGUUAACAUCUUCCAUCUUAAAUAGCUCAAUCAGUAACGGGUUUUGUAAGAAGUAAGGCCACCACAAGAACUGUUGUCACGUUCUUAAGCGAGUUCGUUCCAUAAGUUGUAUGGGUUAGAAUCCACGAUCUCGGAAAAUAAUGUCGCACGUCGUUACGUACGUACGUCUGUUGUAAAGAGCACGCUAAACACUAAACGUAAUAUUUUUGUCUCGAAAAUAUUCUUAUAGUAACCGGAAAUCAUGUUUGAAAUCAUUUUUAAAAAAUUUACGAUUCGCAAAAACCAAAUUUACUUUCUUAACAAGUUGAACUAACUUGAAUUUGCGAUUAUGCAGUAGGAUUUAGAUAGUGGACAACAAAAACCACUGCCACGAGAAAAAAAUGUUACAUUCUUUAUACAGUCGGUAAACAUGUUACAUGACAGAUUUCAGUUGCAUCGUAAAUAAAAAUGCAAGUCUUGGGCUUACUACGUUAUCAAGGUAGCUGUAGUCGGCAGACACGAUAAUUUUGUUAUAUUGUCCGGGUGAUGAUAUUUCGGUUAAGGAAGUGCAACGAACUUGAAAUGUUAUCCUAAGUGUACUUUUGAACCCGCUGAAAAAUACAAAAUGGAAUCAUAAUAGGCGUCGUAAUAGGAAUCUAUAAUAAAAAGUAAAUUAAGUUUAUGGCUAUAUAUGCCACGUAAUGAUAUUCCUUAGAUUCUAUCUGUUAAACUAAUCUUAAUAUUUUAUCCUUUAUUAUAAAUUUAUGUUCUAUCGCUUACUCUAUAGAAUUUUAAAUUUUGGCAAAUCAAAACGAGUUAUCAAUGUCGCUAUAUCGAGCUGGUAAGCGAGGUGUAUCCAUUUUGUAUUUAAUUUUCUUGGUUUCGUUUAAAACUCCAUGUCAACAUUGUUUGGUAAAUUUGUACUAUGGAAUUUAAACUGCACAAGAAAAGCAAAGCACUCUUUAUUAGUUUUAAUUUAUUCAUACAUAUUUGUAUUACGUGCAUUAAUUUGCCAACUUUUAAAUUCUGCAUGUAGUAGAUAUAAAUAUGUAUUAAACUUAAAACUAUAAUUAAUAUGAUUAUUGUUACACAUAACAAAUUGUUGUGUUUGUAAUGAUUGAAUCUCGUUGUUCAUCAAUAAAGAUUUGGUUGUUUAUAUACUGUUGUUUGUGUUUUCCUUAUCAAUGUAUUUUUAGUGUUGCGUUAUUUGGUUAGAAUAUUUACUAGUGGCCACAUUGUACAGUGUUUAUGCCACUUUGUAGGAACAUUGCUUAUAAAAUGAAGGACAAAAAUGACUGGCUAUUUUGUAUCUCAAAAUAUUAACAAAAAGUUAACAAACUACAAUUUUGGUAAUUUGUUUUGGCAAGUUACAGGCAUUUAAUGCAAGCCACAAAUUAAAAUUAUUCUAUCCGUCGUUUAAAAAUUGUGUACGUCUGAUAAAAAGAAUAUAUUCUUUAUCUAUAGUAUUUGUCUUUAAAAUGCGUCAAAUUUGUUUAUACAAUACACGAAGGUGUUGGUAUCGCGCUUAACUAAAGCCCAAAUUUCGAACAUACAUUCGUGGAUUUUGUGCGGUAUUUGUUGUAUUAUUUCAUAAAUGGACGUUUCUUCUCUUGAGCCAGUAUCUUGCUGAAGUAAUUAUGUGGUUGACUUGUUUUAAACCUUUUUGACGCCAACGUCCGAUUGAUCGGGCCGCCGAGGUCCGGGCUAAAACUGCUUAUCGAUUGAGCGGGUGAUACUUCAAACUGCAUUUAUAAACUUUUAAAAUGUGUUUCGGUUAGUUUGAUUUUGUUUUGAUGUAAGUAAUGACUACCUUUAUAAAUUUUAUAGUUGGUAUGACUGAUCUUGGCACUGCUGUGGUUUUACUCUCAUUUUAUACUUCACGUUUAUUAUAAUUUCUUGUCAAUCGAGUCUUCGAUAAACAAUGUUCUGCAAUUUCGUGUAAUGAACCAAUAUUUUUCAUUCAUUUUAAUUUUGUCAAUUUCUUUUUCGUAGUCGAUACCAAAUAAGUAUAUGCAAUUUUAAUUUACGUUUGAUGGAGUGUGGCCAAUAUAAAAAGAUACAAAACAAAAAAGAAACAUGAAUACAAGAACAGUACAGAACGUAACAUUUAAAUUUUAUGUGUUCAAAAUAAGUCGAAGGCAAUUUUGGGUAGUACUCUCGGGCGCUGGCAUCUAAAAGGUUAAACUUCUAAUUAUAAAUAAUUCUGCAUUAUCAAAACUAUCUGAAAUUACAUCAGACGCAACAAUUAGUAGCAACAUGCAUUUGGUUGCCCGAAGUUUCAAACAUCGCAUCACGAACGCUCAAUUGUUUUUAUUUCUAAGAAAAGGUGACUAUCAGAACCUGUGUGUACAGUAAGCGGCUCAAAGUAAUGCGCGCAACCUUUACCAGUUAUGAUGACGUUGACCGGUAGUCGCCGCUUCUACAAACAUGCCUCCUGGUGCCUCGCUGUAUCAUAAUUAUAUUUUCCCCUGUUUUGGUUGCGCGGCACUGCUAUGUCGUGUAUUGUAACUAUGUGAUGUAAUUUUCUAAGUUUCACCUGCCCUUUCACAUUGCUUUUAUUUUGUUCUCUUAACGUGAUUAAAUAUUCCAUAAUUCAUUGUUCUCUCUUGUCGCAAACUGAUGCUUUGUCAACGUAAUCGAAUUCAAAUUCUGAACAUAUACUUGGUUUUGUAAACCUUGACUUUUAAUAUAAAUUCAAACAAACAGUACCUGUUUAACGCCUCAGGCGUGUAAACAUCGUUGUAAAGUUGACAAAAGCAGUGGCAUGUGUCUGAAAUGGUUAUAACCAACAUACUUCAACCGACCUUGAUCAUUUCUGAAUGUCAGCAAUUCUUUGUAAUCUAUUGAAGAAUUUUUAGAAAAAGCAUUUGUUACGAUGGUUAGUGUCUUUGAGAUGGCUAGUAAAGCGAAGGCUGCGUGCCACUUAGCGUGGUCGAUGUGUUUAGAACGGCUAGUACUGAGGCUGCCACUCGGUUCAACCAUCAACACCGCCCGCGAGUACUUAUCAUUAUGUAAAUAUAAAAUAUUUAUUUGCCAGUAUAGAUAAUAAUCGGUGUAAAAUUUCGAUAAUUUAUUCAUCAGAAAGAAUAUUUUGGUAUGUCAUUAUAUUUUAGCUUGUUCAAUAACCAAAACCCGCUAAAUUACGUAAUUAGUAGGUUUGUACUAAAAUUAAAUAAAUACCAUAGGAAUAACGUUUAUCAACACGCUAUAUGUAUCAUGCAAUUGAAGAUUAUAAAAUAAAAGAUUAUAAUUCUACGUAAAGUAGAGUUUAUGCCGCUCGAAAGUAGCUGAGCGCGUAUAGACCUGUCUCGACGUCCAACCCUUGUAAUCCUUCCGUCGUAAACAAAACUUUCACAUUGUCAGCCCAACAUUGUCCUCAGUUGGACAGAAGAAAUGCAUAUUACCAUUGAAAGAAACGUAAAUGUUAAUACAUUUAUUCUCACACUUAUAAAACCAUUCUGUCAUUGAAAUGUAAUGUACCUAAAUACUUCCAACAGAAAGAACGAUACAUACAACUAUAUGAAUUAAUUAAUUUGGUGUUCUUCAAUGUAUGGGGAGCGGCUUAGACAAAUUAAAUAUUAAUCAUUUUAAUUCACGAAUUUCGCAAGUUCGAUUAUGACCUUAUAUAAUUUGCUUGAGAAUUAUUCUAAUUAAUUCUAAACUAUCAGUUAUAUAUUUAACAGUUAUUUGGUAUGGCCCUCGGCAUUCUCCAGUCUUCAGAAGCUGGUGGUUAUGUAACAUUUCUGUUCUAAAUACUUCGUUUCUGUUAUGUUGGUAUAUAAUUUUAUCGCACAGUAGGAGAGUCUAUUACAAUGGUAUUUAUUAUAAAAUCGUUUCUCGUAAAUGAUAAUAUAAUUCAAAUGGUCACCUUUGGACUAGAGUGUGCAUAGAAAUGGUUAAUUGUUUAUAUUUGAGGGAUUAUAAGGUUCCACCGGUGGCCCAGUAAGGUCAUUAAUUGGACCAGUAUUAAUGGUUCGUUUUGUCAGUUUGUAUGUGGCACUGGAAAUAUAAUCAAAUAGUUAAUAAAUGUUGGACUGGUAAUAAUCAGGAAUCUAAUUUAAAAUGUCUUCUUAAUAAAAUGUAUUUCUAUCCAAUUAUCAAUUAUAGCAAUUUCGUCUCGGUACAAACGCGUUUCUGUAAUUUACACAUACACAUAUGGACAAAAAUACUGAGCAUAUUUGAUCUGUUGUACAUUACGGAUUUUUAAAAUGUGAUUUCCGCUAUUUUCUCGGAGAUAAUGUUUGUUUUAACCAACUUAAGUUAGUUAUUAUGCUACUUUUGCCGUUAAUAUAAUUUCAGUAAUGGAAUUCUGUGCUACCGAGAAUAGUAUAGUAAAGCAAACCGCUGAACGUAAACAAGAAAGCAUAUCUCAAAGAUCUUAGAUGCGCAUGCGCAUUAACAUGUAGACUGUGUAAAAUUUCUUCAUCGCGUCUUUAGUUCGCUGCCAAUAAUUUGCCAUGGGUUUUAAUUUUUAAAGUUUAUUAGGGACUCUCUUUACGCAGGCACUAACAAUCAGUUGACUGCAUUUGUUUAUUUAGUCUGACGCGAGCGUGCCUGUCUCUUUUCACGCAAGGGAGCAGAAACCUUACAUGACAUAAUUUAAUAGAUAAAUUGAGUAUUAUGUAACAUACAAAUUAAAUAGCUAGUGUCUUGAUAAUAAUUUAUCAUUUAUUUUUUUUAAGGUUAUGAAGUCAAAAAAGUUGAUAAUUUGUUGGAAUCCGUAUGACACGUAACAAUUGCUUGCAGCAAUGAAAAUUAAAUGUGGACAAAUGAAACUUCAUGUUGAAACGGAUGGGCAGUUGGUCAUUUUUGACACCUAUUCCAAGCGAGUGGCAGGAACUGUGUCACGCUCUACUUACAUGUCAAUGACCUCCGACUAACUUGCCGUCGGUAUUGGCACCGCUACCGAACGUUGGCCAAUCACUGAGGAGUUUGCCAAUUGUGAUAUAUCAGUAAAAUAUUUAUUUAUUUGUCAUAUCUCUUUAGAUAUUUAAUGCCUUCGACUAUUAGACGCUAGCAAUAACGAAUAUAACAGUAACGUUUUAUAAUAUUACGAAAAUUGUGUCGGAAAUGAUCACAUAACUGAACAUGUAGUUGUAUUAGUCUACACCGCCUGAGUUUGAUUUCUUUUAAUAUACCAACCUGUAGUCGAUUUUAAAAGCCUAAAACAGUAACAUAAUUUUUGUGGUAAAAAUGAAUCAUUUCUUAAAAAAUGUAAAAUUAAUUUUAUUACAAUUUACAGAAGCAGAAUAGAGUUGGUGUGGGAUGUAUGCACACUAAGCCCCGAGAGCAAUUAUUAAACUUUAAAAAUAGAAACUUCACAUUACCCUAAAUUACUAUCAAGUUUAGGGUAAACUUUUUAUCUUCCAAAGAGUAAGAUGGUGUCUGAAUUUAACUUGAAAGUUAACAUGUUUUUAGUGUAAGGGGUUGAUGAGGAAAAUACUUAAUUAAAACUAUGUUUACUGAUAAAAUUGAUUUCCUUGGUGCGCAUUCGAUGAGGUGACUUGUGCAAUCAGCUGUUUUAACGCGCGAGUGUUGGAGCUCAAAUAACAUAUCUCGUCAUCUCAAUUGAUGUUUUGUUUUUUUUUUUUUUUUUUUUUUUUUUCAAACAUUGAUGGCUAAAAUAAAGAUCCCAAAUUUUUAUAAUAGUUGCCCUGCAUGUAUUUAAUAAUAAACAAAACUGUUUGUUAAUAAAUAUUACUGCAGUGGGUGGGUUUUGGAUUUAAAUCCCGGCCAAUAACAAUUAGCCUACCGUAGUACCUUGAGUCGAGGCACGCGGGGCACGGUCAAGGCCAUGAGGAGGCGGAGGUGGACCUUGUCAAUUACUAUAGUGGUGGUAGGUCAGGGUCAGUCACAACAUCGGUAUUCUCUGCUCGUUUAACAGUUUACAUAUUAUAAUUGCUAUGAUUAAUAUGCUAUUAGUAGCAGUUUGAGUUUAAUUUCUUCACAGUAACUGAAUACUGCGUUAAAUGCAAAUUUUAAAUGAUUGUAGGAUUAUUGUGAGUGUGCGUUCUGUGUUAAUUUUUAACGUAACAUCAUUACUUCUGUAUGCAAGGAUGUAAUUAUCCCGUGUGCCGAGCAGGCGCAUGCGCGUCGUGUACUGUUUUGACCAUUCGAAAUGCCAUUAAACCGAGCUCGCUUUAUUGAAGAACAGUUUCUAUUAUCCCGCGACUCGCCUCUAGAUGGUAAGAGUGGGGGAGAGCACUUUCCCUAUCUGUUCUCCACGCCGACGUUCCAACAGAUUACGCACACCCAGACAACCGUGUUGCAUUAUCUCGCGAUUUACCAUUGUCACUUGUUUUUAUUUUAUUGUAGAUAUUUCAAAUUGGACAGAAUUCUUUUGAAAAGGUUGUAAGCUGUUUUGGAAGGGCCUUGACCGUGUUUAGAGUAGAUAACUGAAGAAAAAUUGAAGCUUACUAAAUAAAUCAUCAAUAUUGAUGAAGUCCCUUACAGGUCUUAGACGAGUGUUAUGCGCCGAUUGUAUUGAAUCAAUGUCGAGUUUUACUACAUGAACAGUUAAGCUUUUAUUUUUAGUUGUAGACUUUGUAGAAUUGUGGAAGUAGGCCUAUAUCUCUAUUUAUAGAUGAUUGAGAUUGCUUCAUAUGUUAAUACGCAUAAUAAAUGCAUUUAUUGGAAAAUGAACACUUAUAAAUGUUUAGGGUAUGAUGUAAAAACCAGUACCUACACCAUAUAUUUAUAUUUUUUUACUAAUAUAAAAGUCUUUUGGAUGCGCAUUAAUUAUAUCUUUAACACCGAUCAUAUCGGAUAAUCAUACCAGCAAUAUUAAGAGUGUAUGAGUGUUUCAGGUUUUCCAACAUCGUUUGUAGAAGAAAGUCAAAGUAGCCGCUAUUAUAAUUACCGAAUUGCGCUCUUUAUGAUGUAAAUAAUAACAAUAACGGAAGGGUGCGGGAAGAGCCAACUGGGAGUGCCGGUAUGCGUAUACUGAAGUUGUAGCGGUUUUCAGUGGCGUAACUAAAGCUGACUUGCGGGGGGGGGAGCUUAUGGAAUAAAUCAAUAUUUUUAGUAGAUAUGCCCAAUUCCAAAUAAAACAUUGGCUGUAUUUCGAAGUCUGUUCUGUUAAUUUUUGCAAUUUAUUAUAAACUAUAAAAAGUUACCCAAAUGAGUUCAUGAGAUAAAUGACAAAACUAAAGGGGUUUUUCUAUAUUGUUAGGUGUCAAAAGUGAGAGGAUGGAAUUGAGUGCCAAAAAAAUUCCCCUGUAGCAGGUUUUAACAACAGAAUCGUCAGUGUGGCCUUGGUUUACAUGAAUUGUGUGCAAGAUUAUAAAUUAAGAUUUCUCACCUUUCAUCCAUAUUCCAAGUAGGUUGUAUGUUACAGCCUGAGUAUAGAAUGGGACCUCUGUCUACCUAUUAUUUCAUGACAGUUUCUACCCAAUAAUUACAACCUGCUAUUCCAAAUUUUCAUAACAACAUUUUUCCGUAUGCAAAUUUACAUUGCAAUUUCUUUGCUGGUAUAUUUUGUUAAUAUAACAUUUUAAACAGGAUAAGUAGGAUAUUAGUAAUUUUUAAACUAAACUCUUUUUACUAGUUGACUUCAAUAGUUUGAAGCCGUUAACUGUUGCUAUUAAGACAGUAUACUAUUAUUGUUUUCUAACAUUUUGUCUUAAUGAGAAGAAUUAAUUUUAAAUUGUCUUUGUUAAACAGGGUGAUGGAGAUCCAAGCGAUCAAGGCGGUGUUGGUGGUAGGAGAUCUUGCGGUGCACUCUUUUCAUGGACCAGUAUUUCAUAUGUUAAAAUGUCUCACUGUAUCAUUUCAAACGUAAAGCUAAGAUACAAUUAAUCUAGGAACAAGGUGAUUGGGCAGGUUGGUUCUAUUAUUUUUGGACAAAUAUUAUAGUUUAGUUUAUGCAAUUUACUAGUGUUGUUUAAGUGCAUUAUGUUGGAAUACACGUACUGGUCCAAACAUUAUUAUUUUAUUGGUAGUAAAAUAUUUUGCUAUGAGUAUAAAGAGUUAUAAUAUGCAAUAUAAAUGUAUUUUUUCUAUCUCACUGUUAAUGAUCUGAAUCAAAUUCUCUUUUUUGAUAUAUCAUUUUCAUUAUAAUAAUACAUGUAUUUGAUUUUUUGAAUAUCCUUUUUGAAUAGUUACUUAAAAGAAAUAAAUACACAACAUUCUAGAAAUGACUGAGAUGUUAAUUGAAAAUAAAUCAUUACAAUUAGUAGAAACAAUAAAAAUGUGAACUAUAAUUUACUGUGUGGAGAUUAGAUUUUAGAAGAGGAUAUUAAUAGAAAAUGUGAAGUGUUGAUAUUAACAUAUGAAAUACUGGUACCACAAGGGGUAAGCUGAAAUAGAUUUUUCAUUACUACCAAUACCGUUUUUAAAAACACAACUAAACUUCAUAACAAAAUAUAAUAUGUAUGUGUUAAACAUUACUUAAAUUGCAAUACAUCAAGUGCCAGUUAUCUUUGUAUUAAAGGUGUAAGAAAUAACAAGGAUAGGAUUUGCAGUGUUCUAUGUUAUGCUGAGUUGCGAGAUGUUGACGAGACUGCUGCAGUGUCUGCUGAUGAGACUGCUGCAGUGUCUGCUGAUGAGAGCUGCUGUUUCUCUGUUGAGCUGCCUGGGCAGUCACCAGAAGGACGUCGAACACUAGUUUUAAGUAACACACCAAAGGUCAUUUCUUUCAUUCUUGUAACUUCUAUAUCUGGAUGUGUGAAGGAGACCAAUUUAAUUAAUUCUACGCUCAACUGAUAUAUUUUAUAUUCACUAUUUUUUUAAGCAUGUGUGUACAAUAACUAUCAUGCUAAGUAAAAGACAAGUUCCUCGCAAUUUGAUAUAAAUAUCCAGCACUUGACAAGUACUGUAUCAUAAAACGCUAAAAUUAAACUUCAAAAUAAAGAACUUGUAUUGCAAGUGUAGGUCAUGUUCGAAAAAUGGAGAGACAAAAGAAUACCUCAUCUAACUUUUAGAAAAAAGUACAUACACAUACAUGGUAGAAUAAAAUUCCAAGGCUCAAAUUUCUAUUAGUUCAUGAAACGAAUGCCUACAAAUGGCCUUGUGAACCAUAUUCUGUAAAGUUAAAAAUAUACAAGUUUACAUC